GAAAGCCAUGCAAGUCAGAGGGGCUCUUCGGAGUCACAGGCAAGAUGCUCAGUAACACGUCGUUAAUCUAACCUUAGAUCUGGAAUAACCUUGGAAAACUGAGGCUAAAACCGGAUAUGGGAAAAUAAUUGGAAAAUGUUUUCCUUUAAAAGCAAUGUCUAAGGAUGAGACGGCGGCGGAUUAGGUUGUUGGCGGGGUAAUGGCCCACCAAGCCGACGAUCCGUAGGGGCCGUGAGAGCGGUAGCCCCGAGAAGGACACUGAGAUACUGGUCCUAGCCCUACGGGGUGCAGCAGGCGCGAAACCUUUACAAUGCACGAAAGUGUGAUAAGGGAACCCUAAGUGCUCAUGUUUUACAUGGGCUUUUGCCAAGAAUAAAUAUCUUGGCGAAUAAGUGGUGGGAAAGACUGGUGCCAGCAGCCGCGGUAACACCAGCGCCACAAGUAGGGACCACUACUAUUGGGCCUAAAGCGUCCGUAGCCGGCUGAAUAAAUUUCUUGUGAAAUUGUUGGGCUUAACCUAACAACGUGCAGGAAAAACUGUUCAGCUUGGAACCGGGAGAAGUCAGGAGUAUGCUGGGGGGAGCGGUAAAAUGUUAUAAUCCCCGGUAGACUACCAGUGGCGAAGGCGCCUGACUAGAACGGAUUCGACGGUGAGGGACGAAAGCCAGGGGAGCGAAGCGGAUUAGAUACCCGUGUAGUCCUGGCCGUAAACGCUGCGAGCUAGGUGUUGCAUAUUCUACAUGAAUAUGCAGUAUCGAAGCGAAGGUGAUAAGCUCGCCGCCUGGGAAGUAUGGUCGCAAGGCUGAAACUUAAAGGAAUUGGCGGGGGAGCACUACAAGGGGUGCGGCGUGCGGUUUAAUCUAAUUCAACGCAGAGAAUCUCACCAGAAGCGACGGCAGGAUGAAAGUCAGGCUAAAGGUCUUACUUGACGAGCCGAGAGGUAGUGCAUGGCCGCCGUCAGCUCGUGCUGUAAAGUGUCCUGUUAAGUCAGGCAACGAGCGAGACCUGCAUCUACAAUUGCUAACGGAUUCUUUAGAAUGACUGAGCACAUUGUGGAGACUGCCCUGGAAACAGGGAGGAAGGUGCAGGCUACGGUAGGUCUGUAUGCUCCGAAUCUUCUGGGCUACACGCGCGCAACAAUGGUAAGGACAAUGGGAUGCGACUCCGAAAGGAGGAGCUAAUCCUCGAAACCUUAUCCAAGUCUAGAUUGAGGAUUGUAACUCAUCCUCAUGACAAUGGAAUCCCUAGUAAUCAGAGUUUAUCAUACUCCGGUGAACAUGUCCCUGCUCCUUGCACACACCGCCCGUCAAGCCACCCGAGUAGGGUUUAGGUGAGAGGUAAAUUUUAUUUGCAUCGAACCUAAGCUCAGCGAGGAGGGCUAAGUCGUCACAAGGUA
rnacentral:rRNA from 1 species